UAACUCUGGUCUUCCCUCAGAUCGCAUAAAUCUUCGCCUUUUACUAAAGAUUUCCGUGGGGGAGGACAAAUGAUGAGUCUAUACUAAUUUUUUUGUUGGCCCCUCUGGGGGCUG